CUCAUACCAAAAUGGUUACAAAUUCCAGAAUUCAAACUACUCCACUACCAACCUUAAUCUUGUGUUUCAUUAUUUCCAAAAUCAUAUCUCAAACUGUGGCAUAUUCAAAAGUUGGUUAUGGCUACACAAUCACAAUUGUAACAAAUAACCCCACAUCAAACUCUUUGACUGCUAACCUGAAUCUCAUCAAAUUCUCUUCUAUUUUUGGAACAGACAUUCCAUUCCUCAACCUCACUACCAGUUUUUAGACCAAGGUAGAUUAAGAGUAAGGAGCAUUGAUUCCAAUAAUCAAAUAUGAGAAAUUCCACAACAAGUGAUUCCUAGAGACUCAUCAUCUCUAUCUCACUCUUUUCUGAUCCAAAAUCCUAAAAACUCAAAACACAUACUCACACAUCCAAAUUCAAACAUUAUCUUCACACUCCACAACACAACCCCGUUUGAUUUCACCAUCUCACGCAAAUCUAACAAAGAUAUAAUCUUGAAUACUUUACCAUAAAACCAUAAUAUGUAUUUGUAGAUAAUUUUUAUAUUAAUAAUAUUGUUUUUUCCUUUA